rnacentral:rRNA from 1 species
AGUGAACGCUGGCGGUAUGCCUAACACAUGCAAGUCGAACGGCAGCACAGUAAGAGCUUGCUCUUACGGGUGGCGAGUGGCGGACGGGUGAGGAAUACAUCGGAAUCUACUUUUUCGUGGGGGAUUACGUAGGGAAACUUACGCUAAUACCGCAUACGACCUACCGGUGAAAGCAGGGGAUCUUCGGACCUUGCGCGAUUGAAUGAGCCGAUGUCGGAUUAGCUAGUUGGCGGGGUAAAGGCCCACCAAGGCGACGAUCCGUAGCUGGUCUGAGAGGAUGAUCAGCCACACUGGAACUGAGACACGGUCCAGACUCCUACGGGAGGCAGCAGUGGGGAAUAUUGGACAAUGGGCGCAAGCCUGAUCCAGCCAUACCGCGUGGGUGAAGAAGGCCUUCGGGUUGUAAAGCCCUUUUGUUGGGAAAGAAAAGCAGCAGGUUAAUACCCCGCUGUUCUGACGGUACCCAAAGAAUAAGCACCGGCUAACUUCGUG